GGAGCAGUACCCAAGAGGCUGAAGGGGGCAGUUUGCUAAACUGCUAGGGUUCGUUAAGGGCCGCGGAGGUUCAAAUCCUCUCUGUUCCG
rnacentral:tRNA from 1 species